rnacentral:rRNA from 1 species
GACGAACGCUGGCGGCGUGCCUAAUACAUGCAAGUAGAACGCUGAAGAGAGGAGCUUGCUCUUCUUGGAUGAGUUGCGAACGGGUGAGUAACGCGUAGGUAACCUGCCUUGUAGCGGGGGAUAACUAUUGGAAACGAUAGCUAAUACCGCAUAACAAUGGAUGACACAUGCCAUUUAUUUGAAAGGGGCAAUUGCUCCACUACAAGAUGGACCUGCGUUGUAUUAGCUAGUAGGUGAGGUAAUGGCUCACCUAGGCGACGAUACAUAGCCGACCUGAGAGGGUGAUCGGCCACACUGGGACUGAGACACGGCCCAGACUCCUACGGGAGGCAGCAGUAGGGAAUCCUCGGCAAUGGGGGCAACCCUGACCGAGCAACGCCGCGUGAGUGAAGAAGGUUUUCGGAUCGUAAAGCUCUGUUGUAAGUCAAGAACGGGUGUGAGAGUGGAAAGUUCACACUGUGACGGUAGCUUACCAGAAAGGGACGGCUAACUACGUG